GGAAGCUGUGUGGGGUUUUAUUGAGGCCGGUAAACAAGGAAGUCAUUCGUGAGUCUCUUGGGAGCCAUUCAGAAGGAUACAGACUUGUCUUAUCUGGACUAUGGGAGAGAAAGGGGGUUUGUUGCUGUUAGCUGUUUCCAGAAACAUGAAAAUGUAGUGGAGUUUCACAACCAUGGCCGUUUUCCUGGAGCACAGGACUCAGGUCAAAUUCAACAUUGGCCCCAGCAGCGUGUUCUCACCGAAACUUUGAGAAUGGUGAUCGGGCAGAGUGUGUAGCUACUGAGAAAGUCAUACUUAACUUUUUGAUGAGGCUGCCGCUUCUGAGAUUCUGGUAGGCUGCCUGGAGGAGGUGAGUCUCGUGGCUGGUAUACAAGGACAGCUAAAAGCCUUCCAGAAAGAAACCACAUGGCAGUUGAUACACCAAUAAAUUUUAAGUGGAUCAAGUUACAUCUGAGAAAACCAUUGCCUUUUCA
rnacentral:lncRNA from 1 species